rnacentral:other from 1 species
GUUAAAGAAUAAGUUCCAUUAAAACAAGGAUUAAAAC